rnacentral:lncRNA from 1 species
ACAGGCAGUCAGAAACUUCAUGAGAACAAACCAAAUCCAUGUCAUGAACUAAAUACUGAUUGUCUGAAGUGUGGCCCACUUGUGAGUAAUGUAAGCCAUAGACUGUUGGAAGGGAUCGUCUAAGCCCAUGUGGUAGCAUCCUUGGUGCCGCGCUAUAGGUUAUGGGCUUUUUGGAUCUAGAGUGGGAGUGUUUGCUUGGUUAUAAUGAUGUAAAUACUGCCUUGUGGAGUUCACCUUCUAAAAUCAACAGCACCCUGCAGACCACGUGAACUACCCACAGAGAAACCUAUAAAGACUUUCCACCUUUAUAAUACGAGGUGAAAAACAGCCCAGAGAAGCUGGACAGCCUAAGAGGAAAGAUGUGGAAGGCUGGAGGUCUAAACCACAGUUUCCAAAUCUUCAUCAUGAAAGAAAGUUGCACAGUCUUGCCCAGUGCCAUAGGGCUUGUCCGCGUCUGGUGGAGGAGACCACCUUCUCCUCUGCUCAUUGGCACUGGGCUUUAUGCAUGAUCUGAUUUGUGCCAUUGCAUAUGAGUGGAAGCAAUAAUCUGUCCUGAACGAAUCCUGUAAGAGGCGCUGUGAGAUUGUGUCCUCAGUGUCCGAGGCUGAGUCCCAGCACUAGUAGGGUAUGGCUAGUGAGACCUAAGUUGGAACUAAACCGUUGUUAGUUUUCAUCAUUACUGUCCUGGAUCAUGCACCGAAACUGACUGGCAGGUAGAGGAGAGGGCAGAGGUAUGAAUGCCGUCACCACAUGCAGUGGGGAGUGAAUCGAUGCUUUCUAUGGUUGAUAGGUGAAUAGUGGGUACCAGGGUGACCACAAGAUAAAGUGCACCCGCAGCAUGGUGGGACGACAGAGCGGUGGUGGGAUGCUAGGAUGAAGUCAGAACAAGAAGAAAGGGAGGUUCGCCAAGCUGAUUUCAUGUCUCAUAGCAGAAGGCCAAUAAAUGGCUUUGUCUGUAAGGGAUAAAGCCAGAAACAGCUUUACACAUGCUCCUCGGAGACUAGGGAGAUGAAGAAUUGGCAUCAUCGUUUUUCUCCUGUCUUCUGGCUCAUCCCAGCAGUGUAUAUACAUGCAGAAAUUGUGUCUCAUCCUUCAAAGACAGACUUUUGGUUAUAGUCUGCCUUGGGCUGUCUUAUAGUUCUGUACUCUCUUGUACAGGAAACUCUCUGAACCUGUGGCUGUCUGGAUUUGUGGUCUCCACUAUGUUUUCCCUCUUUCUAAGGUUUUUGCAUCUGUUACCCACCUAGCUGGCUCUCAUAGGACUCACUCUUCUCCUCUAGGUUGCUGAAUCCAGGGGCCAGGUCUGUGCGCCUCCUUCCUGGACCCACCAGCCUUGGACUCCGUGCUUAUUGCCUGCUCCUUGAAAGGUUUUCUUCAUUUGGCUUCGUGUUCCUUUUUCCCGUGGAUCCUUCAUUCCCUUAGCUCCUCUCUGCAACCUCUGGAUGUGGGAGUUCCCCAGGGCCUCCAUCCUGACUUUGAUCUUCUUUCUCCUGCCCACACUUGCUGCCUUGGCUUUAAAUCGCAACUCCAUGAUGAUAACUUCCAAGCUCAGAGCCCUAGAUAAGCCCUUGCUUCAAACUUGAGAGUCUCACAUCCAACCCAGCACCUCCCUCCCAAACCACAAGGAAUCUUAGACUUGGCCUUUGCAGAAACCAAUGCCUGCUCUUCCCCCAAACCUGAAUGUCCCAGGCUGGAACCAGGGCUCAUCCUUGCCCCAUGCCCCCUCUCACCCAUACCUGCUCCUGACUACUUUCAAACUCUAUACCGGACAACUUCUUACCAUCCUCUAGCCUAAACCAAACUACUGUGAGAGCUGUGUGUGUGAACAGUGUAUGUUUGUGUACACAUAUGUGUGUGUGUGUGUGUGUGUGUGUGUGUAUUAUGUGGGGGUGCUUUGUAUGUGUAUACUCUCUGUGUGUGCACAUAUGUGUCUAUUAUGUGGGGAUGCUAUGUGUGUAUAUAGUCUCUAUGUGUGUACACAUACGUGUGUAUUAUGUGGAGAUGUUUUGUGUGUGUGAACAGUGUGUUGUUUGUGUACACAUGUUUGUGUGCAUUGUGUGGGGGUGCUUUGUGUAUGUAUAGUCUCUCUGUGUGUGUAUAUUAUGUGGGAAUGCUGUGUGUGUGUAUACAGUGAGCACAGCACGCAUGUGGGCAUUAGAGAGCCACACAGGCAUCAGUCCUUACCUUCUACUUUAAAACAAGGUCUCUGUUGCUUUUUUCUGCUGCACACACCUGACUAAGUGGACUGCGAACUUCUGAAAUUCUCUGUUCUCCACCUCUCAUCUGCUCAUAGGAGCCCUGGGUUACAGAAGUUCCUGGGUGCUCCCUCUGUGCCCUUGGCUUUUCCGUGAGUUCUGGGAAUCUGAAUUCAGGUGCUUGCUCUCACAGCAAGCGUUUUUGACCCAUUAACCCAUCUCUUCGGCCUGUUGGAUUUUGCAAAAGGGUCUCACUCUGUGGUCCAGGCAGGGUUCCCGAGCCACGACACUUAUUUUUGACAGCUUCUUUAGAACAUAUUUCCUUCAUUUUAUGUAUAUGGGUGCCUUACCUGCAUGUAUGUCUGUGUACCAUGCUUGCAGUGACUGCAGAAGCCAGAAGAGGGCGUUGGCUCACCUGUGACUGGAGUUACAGGUGGUCUUGAACCACUAAGUAGAUGCUGGGAUCAAACCAAUGCUCUUAACCCCUGAACCAUCUUUCCAGCAUUUGAUGGCUGCUUAAAUGGUCUUCUUUCCUUCACAGUAAGCCCUUACUAGUGUCUCUUGCAGUCUGUUCUCAACAUAUCAGCUAGAUUGAUUGUUUGUGACCAAAUUAGAUGACUCCACUCUGGUUUUCAAACUCCCAAAACAAACAAGCACACACACACACACACACACACACACACACACACACUCUUAAGCCAAACUAACCCCCUUCCCAAAUAACUCCCACAGCACUCAGUAAAAUCUCAAGUCUUGUUAUAAUUUGUACAACCCUAGGUUAGAAUUUUCAAUGGAACAUUAUAAGAAUUUUAUAGGUCUUUAACAAUUUCUGGCACCUAAAGUACACAAGGUUAAAAAAAGAAGAUACAUCUUAACAAUAUAUUUCAUGUCAUAUAUAUACAUAUAUAUUACUAUCAUUUCAAUGUAUAUAGACAACACUAAAUUAUCAGUGAGACUUUAGUGUUUCUUUUGGUGUGUAAGAAGUUUUCAAAACCUGACAAAAUCUAGCAUGUGUUUUACACCUGCAGAAUUUCAAGUGGUUGUGUAAGCUGUGCUCAUGUUUCUUUCUGAGAUAUGACUUGGAAACUAACUGUAGCCAAGGGCAGAUACUGCCAGGAACAUUUCAGUGAUGAGUAGGCAACCUGCCAAGCAAGGAAGUUGAUUUGCUACUGCCUUUCAAACAGACCUGUGCUGUGCACCUACUGUGUAACAGCUUUGCUCUUUGGAGCCAGAAUCCAAAGACAGUAGAUGGAUACCAGCACUCAGGAGCUAAUUGUCUCCCCAAGAAGGAAGGUCAAUAGAUCAGAUUGGGGUGUGUGCUCUCCUGAGGGUGGGCUGCACCCUAAUUGAUAGAGUCAGCUUCCUGGGAAACUUGGAGACUUGGAAAAGGAGCAGCAGAAGACUAGUCAGGAGGAUCAUGAGUCUGAAGCCAGUCUGGGCUGCCUAGUGGGAGCAAUCUCAGGUCAAGUGAGCAGCUCACCUAGCCUCUCUGAGAUAGUCUGCCUGCCUGGCCUCCCUACUGAUCAUCAUGCUUUGUU